rnacentral:lncRNA from 1 species
AAAAUGGUAAAUUUGCAUGUCAGGUCCUUGAAACUGCAGAUAGUUACAUUUUAGUCCUUUGGCACCAUUGGUGCCGCCAAUCUCUUUGGCACCAUUGGUGUCGCCAAUCUCUUUGGCACCUUUGGUGCCGCCAAUGUGAUUGGCCUGAUUAGGCUGUUGUCAGGUUUGUUUUUUUUUUCUGUUUUUUGUUUUUGGUAUAUU